rnacentral:rRNA from 1 species
UGCGUAGGCGGAUGCAAAGGCGCUUUGUGAAAUCCCACGGCUCAACCGUGGAAUUGCUUGGCGAACCAUGCAUCUUGAGGUUGGUAGAGGUCACUGGAACGAUAGGUGGAGCGGUGAAAUGCGUAGAUAUCUAUCGGAACGCCAACGGUGAAGACAGGUGACUGGGCCAAAUCUGACGCUGAGCACGAAAGCGUGGGGAGCAAACG